GGGGGGGGGGUUACGGGGCCCUGAGCCUUGGGUGGGCUACAGGGCCUUGGGCCUUGAGGCAGUAAUGUGGCCUUGGGGUGGGUUACAAGGCCUGCAGUCUCGGAUGGGUUAUGGCGUCCUGGGCCUUGAGUAGAUUAAAGGGCCUGCAGUCCCAUAUGGCUCGUGGGGCUGUGGGCCUUGAUGGGGUUACAGGGCCUGCAGCCUAUAGUGGCUUAUGGGGUCCUGGGGGGUUAUAGGGCCCUGGGCCUUGGGUGGGUUAUGGGGCCUCAGGUGGGUUACAGGGUCUUGGAGGGGUUACAGUAUCAUGGGCCUUGAGUGGGUUAUUGGGGCCUUGGGGUGGGUUACAGGGCCUGCUGUCUACAAUGGACUGCGAGGCCCUGGGCCUUGGGUGGGUAAUGGGGCCCUGGGCAGCUUAUGGGGCCUUGGGUAUAUUACAGGGCCUGCAGUCUUUGAUGGGUUAUGGGGCUACAGGCCCAGUGGGGUUAGAGAGCCUUGGGUGGGAUAUAGGGCCCUGGACCUCAGUGGGGUUACAGAGCCUUGGGUGGGAUAUAGGGCCCUGGACCUCAGUGGGGUUACAGGGCCCUGGGUGAGUUACGGGGUCCUGGGCCUUGGGUAGAUUACAGGGCCUGCUGUCUUUGAUGGAUGAUGGGGCUGUGGGCAGGUUAGAGGGCAUCAGGUGGGUUAUGGGGCUGUGAGCCUUGGUGGGGUUACAGGGCCUUGGAUGGGUUACGGGACCCAGGGCCUUGGCUGGAUUACAGGGACCUGGGCCUCAGCUGGCCUGCAGGUCCUUGGUAGAUUACAGGGCCUGCAGCCCUUGAUGGGCUAUGGGGCUGUGGGCCUUGGGUAGGUUACAGGACAUAAGCUGCAGGUUGGAGGAAGCGGCCUCGCUGUGUCCAGACAGGCAGCUCUGCCUCAGAAGCUCCCACCGCAGAGCUGCCAGCCCGCCCUGCCCUGGCAGCAGAGGUUGGAGGCACGCGGGCAGCGAGCGACACGGGGUCCCCAAAGUGCUGCAGAUCCGCGAUGAUUGAAGACCUUCUCCUGGCAGACAAACCAACCGCUCCCGAGGAUGUGGUACGAGAGUGGGAGAGCGAUGCGGGCAGAGAGGCUGCGGGCCAACCCUGCUGGCACACGGCUCCUUGGAACAGCUCCACAGAGCUGCGGCUUGUCUGGGGGGGGGGACAGGGAGCCCGUGCCCUGCCCACAGAGCCUCCGGC
ensembl:lncRNA